AAAAUACCUUUAAAUAUUUUAGGCAUCGAAUAGGUUUUUUUAAUAUAGAAAUGUUUUAGGUAUCGAAUAGCUUUUUUGAAUAUAGAAAUGUUUUAGGUAUCGACUGGGUUUUUUGAAUAUAGAAACAAAUUCGACACUUUAAUUAUGUUUAUGUCAAUAUCACUUUGUCGUCAAAGAACGCUAUAUGUUAUUUGAUCAUUAAUUAUGAGUUCAAGGAUUAGUCAAGAUGUUAUGACCAGAGGCCCAGUUAGCCAAAACUGGCCCAGUUAUCGUAAUAAUAUUAGGGGCUUAGCCCAGUUUAUUAUAGCCUAGGGAACUUAUAUAUAGUCAUGUAAUCAGCACUUUUAAGAUUAAGCAAAGAUCAAUCUAUUUUGAUCGGCUCCAACUAGGAGCCGGUACCCUAACCCUAACCGCCUCUUCCAUUGCGCCGUCGCCCCCAUCCGUGCGAGACGGCGCCCCUGCGCCGGCGACAACGGCCGAUCCCCUCCUUCCCCUAUAACCUCCGGCCAAGACCCGGUAGAACCCUAGUUUCUACCAGUUUGGUAUCAGGUAGCUUCGGUGCGAUCAUGUCUUCGCCGCCGCCCACCUCAGCCCUC
rnacentral:lncRNA from 1 species